rnacentral:rRNA from 1 species
AGAUUGAACGCUGGCGGCGUGCCUAACACAUGCAAGUCGAGCGGUAACAGGUGUAGCAAUACAUGCUGACGAGCGGCGAACGGGUGAGUAAUGCUUCGGAAUCUACCUUAUGGUGGGGAAUAACUAGCCGAAAGGUUAGCUAAUACCGCAUACGUCCUACGGGAGAAAGCAGGGGAUCGCAAGACCUUGCGCCAAAAGAUGAGCCGAAGUCGGAUUGGCUAGUUGGUAGGGUAACGGCCUACCGAAGGCGACGAUCCGUAGACUGGUCUGAGAGGACGACCAGGCCACACUAGGAACUGAGACACGGUCCAGACUCCGUACGGGAGGCAGCGAGUGGGGAAUAGUUGGAACAAGUGGGGGAAACCUGA